ACAUGAAGCUGGAAUCGCUAGUAAUCGCGAAUCAGAAUGUCGCGGUGAAUACGUUCCCGGGUCUUGUACACACCGCCCGUCACACCAUGGGAGUCGGAAAUGCCCGAAGUCAGUGACCCAACCGCAAGGAGGGAGCUGCCGAAGGUGGAGCCGGUAACUGGGGUGAAGUCGUAACAAGGUACC
rnacentral:rRNA from 1 species